GAUGAAGAACGUAGUGAAAUACGAUAAGUAAUGUGAAUUGCAGAAUUCAGUGAAUCAUCGAAUCUUUGAACGCACAUUGCGCCCGCCAGUAUUCUGGCGGGCAUGCCUGUUCGAGCGUCAUUACAACCCUCAGGCCCCCGGGCCUGGCGUUGGGGAUCGGCGGAAGCCCCCUGCGGGCACAACGCCGUCCCCCAAAUACAGUGGCGGUCCCGCCGCAGCUUCCAUUGCGUAGUAGCUAACACCUCGCAACUGGAGAGCGGCGCGGCCACGCCGUAAAACACCCAACUUCUGAAUGUUGACCUCGAAUCAGGUAGGAAUACCCGCUGAACUUAAGCAUAUCAAUAAGCGGAGGA
rnacentral:misc_RNA from 1 species